UACACGUGGACAACCUAACCUAUGGAGGGGGAUAACCCCGGGAAACUGGGGAUAAUACCCCAUAGACUAUGGAUGCUGGAAUGCUCUGUAGCCAAAAGGUCAGCCGCCAUAGGAUGGGUCUGCGGCCGAUUAGGUAGUUGUUGGGGUAACGGCCCAACAAGCCUGUAAUCGGUACGGGUUGUGGGAGCAAGAGCCCGGAGAUGGAUUCUGAGACACGAAUCCAGGCCCUACGGGGCGCAGCAGGCGCGAAAACUUUACAAUGCGGGAAACCGUGAUAAGGGAACUCCAAGUGCCCGUUAAAUCGGGCUGUCCAUCAGUCUAAAAAACUGGUGAAGAAAGGGCCGGGCAAGACCGGUGCCAGCCGCCGCGGUAAUACCGGCGGCUCGAGUGGUGGCCACUAUUACUGGGCUUAAAGCGUUCGUAGCUGGUUUGUUAAGUCUCUGGGGAAAUCUUCCGGCUUAACCGGAAGGCGUCUCAGGGAUACUGGCAGACUAGGGACCGGAAGAGGUGAGGGGUACUCCAGGGGUAGGAGUGAAAUCCUGUAAUCCUUGGGGGACCACCUGUGGCGAAGGCGCCUCACCAGGACGGCUCCGACAGUGAGGGACGAAAGCUGGGGGAGCAAACCGGAUUAGAUACCCGGGUAGUCCCAGCCGUAAACGAUGUGCGUUAGGUGUAUCGGUGACCACGAGUCACCGAGGUGCCGAAGAGAAAUCGUGAAACG
rnacentral:rRNA from 1 species